GACGUAGGGCGCGAGCGUUGUCCGGAUUUAUUGGGCGUAAAGAGCUCGUAGGCGGCUUGUUGCGUCGACUGUGAAAACCCGCGGCUUAACUGCGGGCUUGCAGUUGAUACGGGCAGGCUAGAGUUCGGUAGGGGGAGACUGGAAUUCCUGGUGUAGCGGUGAAAUGCGCAGAUAUCAGGAGGAACACCGAUGGCGAAGGCAGGUCUCUGGGCAUUAACUGACGCUGAGGAGCGAAAGCAUGGGGAGCGAACAGG
rnacentral:rRNA from 1 species